UGGAAUUAGGGAGCAAACCAUGUACUGAAGU
rnacentral:piRNA from 1 species